rnacentral:lncRNA from 1 species
GAGCAAAAGAAAGCAAAUGGGAAGAGACGUGUGAACUUCUCACCAACCUUUAGCCACUACGAAUUUCAAAUAUAUAUAGAGAGAUUGGCCUCAUUUUUCUACUGAUAGUCAUCUACGUAUUGUAUCCGCCGAAAGGAUAACCUAAAUGUCCAGUAAGUUCUUGCCAAUUUCCUAAGGUUUCAAAUGGAUACAAUAGCAUUGCAUAGUAUUUCUCCCAAAAUAAAAUCAAACUGGUCCAGUGAAAUACAUCACUCCCUCCUAUAAACAAAUGUAUACAAAAAUUGCAUAGGCUCGAGACGUGGAAGCAUACGACUAAUAUUCACAAAAUUCCUACAGCCUUUGGCCAAAACAAUGAAACAACUCCCUUUUAAGACAAGGGAAAUAAUACAAGGCGGAUCUAUGGGAGCAAAAACAAAUAGAGCCCCUCCUUCACGGAGCAGGAAAAUAAAUAAGCGUUGGAGCGAAAGUAGCCAUAAAAAUGGAGAGACGAGACUAUGUACACCUACCUCUAUCAGACGUCUCUUAUCUUCACCAAGCCCUAGAGCAACAGUAAUGUACAAAAUACCCCAAAGUCUUCCUUGCCGAAUUGCAGAGACAUUCUAAACUUUCACCAACUUGUCAUCUUUCCAUGCCCGGAUAGAACCAUAAGCUUCAAAAUGAAUAAUGCAAAAAACAGUCAGGAUAUUGUUCCAGAUAGGGAGAGUAGGAAAUUAUAAUGAG